GACGGAGGGUGCUAGCGUUGUUCGGAAUCACUGGGCGUAAAGGGCGCGUAGGCGGCCUCAGGUGUCGGAUGUGAAAGCCCGGGGCUCAACCCCGGAGGUGCAUCCGAAACUCUGGGGCUGGAGGUCGGAAGAGGAGGGUGGAAUACCCAGUGUAGAGGUGAAAUUCGUAGAUAUUGGGUGGAACACCGGUGGCGAAAGCGGCUCUCUGGUCCGGACCUGACGCUGAGGCGCGAAAGCGUGGGGAGCGAACAGG
rnacentral:rRNA from 1 species